GUUCGUGCAGCUUUGGUGGAAAGCAAUCAGGCCACAUGUAUCAUCACACAAACACGUUCGCAACCUUUGACCCAGACACUUCCUAAGGAAGUAAUUCAAAAUAUGGAAAAAGCUAUCUGUACAAUGAUGCUUCUUUCUCACCAUUGUUUGUAAUGGUGAGAAAAGUGUUUAUUUUUUUGUUUACAUACAGGGUAAAACCAUAGCAAGGGUGGUGUCAGCCCUUUCAGUUCCAUAGUGUGAUUUUUGGGUGUGUGUUAAACGAGGACAUAUAAACAAUAAUUUAGGCCUCUCAGUUCCGUUCAGUUCAGUCGCUCAGUCCUGUCCGACUCUUUUCGACCCCAUGAAUCGCAGCACGCCAGGCCUCCCUGUCCAUCACCAACUCCUGGAGUUCACUCAGACUCACGUCCAUCGAAUCAGUGAUGCCAUCCAAUCAUAUCCUCUGUCAUUCCCUUCUCCUCCUGCCCCCAAUCCCUCCCAGAUUAGAGUCUUUUCCAAUGAGUCGACUCUUUGCAUGAGGUGGCCAAAGUACUGGAGUUUCAGCGUUAGCAUCAUUCCUUCCAAAGAAAUCCCAGGGCUGAUCUCCUUUAGAAUGGACUGGUUGGAUCUCCUUACAGUCCAAGGGACUCUCAAGAAUCUUCUCCAACUCCACAGUUCAAAAGCAUCAAUUCUUCAGCGCUCAGCUUUCUUCUCUAGACAGUCUCUUGUUUUAAUUCGCAGUUGAAUACAGUGCUUUGGAAAGGCUUUUAGACUCUGCUGAACAGUGAUCAGAUUUAAAUCAGUGAAGGAUUUAAAAACCAUCCUCAGUCCCUUCAUCCUUUAGUGGAGUUUGGGGUAAUUCGAAACCAAAGGAAAGAAAAAGGCGGGGUGGGGGUGGGGGGUGUUCUGUCAUCUGUAAACUAGACUUUUAAAUGUCUGGAGAAGGAAGGAAGUCAAGGCAGGGUGGAAUCUUCCUUUCUGUAAGCCCUAGGCCAUUACAGCACAGAAACCCCGCCCCCACCUCCCCCAACUCUCGCCCAAGCCAGAAAGCAGAGCCGAGGCGUCCUGAGAUGGAGAGUCUGGCGGGGUCCGCAUGCGUGCUGGGCUGUGCCCAAGCAGCUGAGGGGGAGCAAAAAAUGGAGAAAAAAGAUCACAGAGGAAUUGACUGUGAAAGGUUUCCUAUUGCCAUUCAAGACAAGAUGCUGCACCCAGACUCAGUUCUCGAAUUUCAUUAUAGAUACAACACCCCAGGACAGAAUUUCUUUAAUCAUACGGAAAGAAGUGCCUUUGCUCGGCUCCGCUAUUUAAAUGAAAAUAAUUCUUCACCUACUCAUUCAAAACCAAAAUGGAUCUGUUUCCAGAGAGCAAAUCCAAAACCCUCUAAUGAUGGAUGUGAACCCAUACCCAGAAAGUCAGACCUUGCUACACUCUCACCCCAUUCCCACUCCUGCAGGAUUUCUGAAAACACAUCCUCCAGCAACUUUAGAAGUAACAAAGAAACGGAAUCUGAGGUGAGGACCUUGCAGCUUGUGAGUUUGGUCUUCCUAACCACAAAACUGAUGGCUUUUAAAUUAUUACAGUAUGACAGCAUCAAAAAAUGUUCUGCUGAAACAAAUUGUGCUCAGCACCAACACAAAGACACACAGCCUGAGUAG
ensembl:lincRNA